GGUCCCAUGGUGUAAUAGUCAUCACUCUGGGCUUUGAAUCCAGCAAUCCGAGUUCAACGCUUGGUGGGACUU